rnacentral:rRNA from 1 species
AACGAACGCUGGCGGCAGGCCUAACACAUGCAAGUCGAACGAUGUAGCAAUACAUAGUGGCGCACGGGUGCGUAACGCGUGGGAAUAUACCCUUAGGUGCGGAAUAAUGUCUGGAAACGGACACUAAUACCGCAUAAUGACUCCGGUCCAAAGAUUUAUCGCCUAGGGAUUAGCCCGCGUCUGAUUAGUUAGUUGGUAGGGUAAUGGCCUACCAAGACGAUGAUCAGUAGCUGGUCUGAGAGGAUGAUCAGCCACACUGGAACUGAGACACGGUCCAGACUCCUACGGGAGGCAGCAGUGAGGAAUAUUGGACAAUGGGCGCAAGCCUGAUCCAGCAAUGCCGCGUGAGUGAAGAAGGCCUUAGGGUUGUAAAGCUCUUUUAAUAGUGACGAUAAUGACGGUAGCUAUAGAAAAAGCCCCGGCUAAAUUCGUGCCAGCCGCCGCCGUAA